rnacentral:lncRNA from 1 species
GUCUUGUUGAUUGAUUGAUUGUUGGUUGCUUUACGUCGCAUUAGCACAAAAAGGCUAUAUCGCAGCGACACUGGUCUUGUUGAAGACUGUACCUUGACCUAUAAUGGUUUAUUUUUAUAAAUUGUGACUUGGAUGGGGAGUUUUCUCAUUAGCACUCAUACCACAUCUUCCUAUAUCUAUUUACUGCUGAAAGUGGCAUACAACACCAGUGAUUAAU